rnacentral:rRNA from 1 species
UACGGGGGGAGCAAGCGUUGUUCGGAUUUACUGGGCGUAAAGGGCGCGUAGGCGGUCAGCACAAGUCAGUUGUGAAAUCUCCGGGCUUAACCCGGAAAGGUCAACUGAUACUGUGCGACUAGAGUGCGGAAGGGGGCAACUGGAAUUCUCGGUGUAGCGGUAAAAUGCGUAGAUAUCGAGAGGAACACCUGCGGCGAAGGCGGGUUGCUGGGCCGACACUGACGCUGAUGCGCGAAAGCCAGGGAGCGAACGGG